CCUACGGGAGGCAGCAGUCGAGAAUCAUUCACAAUGGGGGAAACCCUGAUGGUGCGACGCCGCGUGGGGGAAUGAAGCUCUUCGGAUUGUAAACCCCUGUCAUGUGGGAGCAAAUUACAAUGAUAGUACCACAAUAGGAAGAGACUGCUAACUCUGUGCCAGCAGCCGCGGUAAUACAGAGGUCUCAAGCGUUGUUCGGAAUCACUGGGCGUAAAGCGUGCGUAGGCUGUUUCGUAAGUCGUGUGUGAAAGGCGCGGGCUCAACCCGCGGACGGCACAUGAUACUGCGAGACUAGAGUAAUGGAGGGGGAACCGGAAUUCUCGGUGUAGCAGUGAAAUGCGUAGAUAUCGAGAGGAACACUCGUGGCGAAGGCGGGUUGCUGGACAGUAACUGACGCUGAGGCACGAAGGCCAGGGGAGCGAAAGGGAUUAGAUACCCCAGUAGUC
rnacentral:rRNA from 1 species